ACCUGUCUGGCUCAGUUGGUAGAGCAUACAACUUUUAAUCUUGGGGUUGUGAGUUUGAGCCCCAUGUCAGGUG
rnacentral:tRNA from 1 species